CCCUACGGGUGGCUGCAGUGAGGAAUAUUGGUCAAUGGACGCAAGUCUGAACCAGCCAUGCCGCGUGCAGGAAGACGGUCCUAUGGAUUGUAAACUGCUUUUGUACGGGAAGAAACACUCCUACGUGUAGGAGCCUGACGGUACCGUAAGAAUAAGGAUCGGCUAACUCCGUGCCAGCAGCCGCGGUAAUACGGAGGAUCCAAGCGUUAUCCGGAAUCAUUGGGUUUAAAGGGUCCGUAGGCGGUUUAAUAAGUCAGUGGUGAAAUCUGGUCGCUCAACGAUCAAACUGCCAUUGAUACUGUUAGACUUGAAUUACUGUGAAGUAACUAGAAUAUGUAGUGUAGCGGUGAAAUGCUUAGAUAUUACAUGGAAUACCAAUUGCGAAGGCAGGUUACUAACAGUUGAUUGACGCUGAUGGACGAAAGCGUGGGGAGCGAACAGGAUUAGAUACCCUUGUAGUCCUA
rnacentral:rRNA from 1 species